AAGGCUAAUCCUUUUUCAUCCUGCCACUUUGACUUUCCUAUUCUGUUCUCACACUGGCUUUCAAUUUUUUGGGUGCUUGUUUUGUUUGUUUUGGUUUUUCCAGUCAGGGUUUCUCUGUGUUGUCCUGGAACUCUGUAGAGUAGGCUAGUCUUGAACUCACAGAGAUCCACCUAUUUCUGGCUCCCUAAUGCUGUGAUUAAAGGCUUAUGCCUCCAUGCCCAGUUCAGGUGCUUGCUUUUUCAGUGUUUUUCUAAAAAGAAUUCAUAGUGGUAAAUUUUUUUCUUUCUGGAGUCUCUGCCCUUUGGUAAUAAUAGUCAAGUUGUUGAGAUUGAUAUCCUUGGCCAAUAUUAUCCUUAAAAUUUGAUGUUAACCUAAGGUAAUAUAGGUGUAUAUAAAACAGUGCUAAACUGAGAGGUCUUAUUGAGUAGGCAUAGGGGGCCAUUCUAUAAUCCCAUCACUUCCAAGGCAGAAGCAGGAGGACUGCCAUAAAUUCAAGGUUGCCUGGGCUACAGAGUGAGGCAUUGUCUCAAAAUGCAGGAAGAGGGUGGAAGGGCCUUAAAAAGAGAAGGAAAACAUUUUUCUUUAUCAUUUUAUUGGAUUUGAUUUAUAGGUAUUAUUUAGCUUCAGUAUUAAGAAAACACUAAGUUGCACAAAAUCAGAAUACAGUAAGAUAUCAUACUCGAUGUGUUGGCUGUAUUUUCAUGGUGUUCAAAUGUUGUGCCUCUUAUUUACCUACUUGCACUUAAUGUAUACUAACUUUUCUAUAAACUAACAUACAAUACUUUUUGUUAGGCUUAAGUAAACACCAAGGUGUAAUUUUUUUUAACUCUUUGUGGGCCUCCCACCUAACUCCCAAAUAAAUAUAUGGAGUCUUAUUCUUACUUAUGAAUGCCCAGUCUUUGCUUGGCUUGUUCUAGCCAACUUUUCUAACUUAAAUUAUCCUAUUUCUUUUUAACAACGUUUUAUUUCUGGACUUUCUUUCAUUCUUACUCCAUGGCUGGCUGUGUGGCUGGGAGGCUGGCCCCUGUCUUUCUACUCUUCUCCUUUUCUUGCUCUCCCUCUUUUAUCUCUGGAACCUAUGUUUCUCCUAUUUAUUCUCUCUCCCUGGCAGCCCCACCUAUCGCUCUCCUGUCCAACUAUUGGCCAUUCAGCUUUUUUUUUUAAGGGGUUUGUUUAUUUAUCAUGUAUACAGUGUUCUGUCUGCAUGUAUCCCUGCAGGCCAGAAAAAGAGUACCAGAUCUCAUUACAGAUGAUUGUGAGCCACCAGGUGGUUGCUGGGAGUUGAACUCAGGAAGAGCAAUUGAACUCUGGAACAGCAACCAGUGCGCUUAACCUCUGAGCCAUCUCUCCAGCCCCAGUCUUUCAGACCAAUCAGUGAGCUGUUUUCCCCGUCUCAAAAGUACCAGCUUUUGGUGUAUCAUGCAGAUUCUCUCUUUCACGAUAAGGAGUACCGUAAUGCUGUGAGUAAGUAUACCAUGGCUUUACAGCAGAAGAAAGCCUUGAGUAAAACUUCAAAAGUGAGACCUUCAACUGGAAAUUCUGCGUCUACUCCACAGAGCCAGUGUCUUCCUUCUGAAAUUGAAGUGAAAUACAAAAUGGCUGAGUGUUAUACAAUGCUGAAACUAGACAAAGAUGCCAUCGCUAUACUUGACGGGAUUCCUUCAAGACAGAGAACUCCUAAAGUAAGCUGAAGUUUCCUCUUCCCCAGUUCUGUUCACCCUGCCUCAUCCUGUAUGUUCUCCAUGUUUCAGGAAGUCUGUCUGAUCAUUCUUCUCAUGGCUCUCUCAUUUUUUUCCCCCCAGACAGAGUUUCUCUUUGAAACAGCUCUGGCCAGACUGGCCUCUAACUCACAGAGAUCCACCUCCCUCCCAAGUGCUAGGAUUAAAGGCGUGUUCCACCACAGCCCAGCAAUCACUCUCAUUCUUAACACUUUCUCCCUAGUAGUGGAGUUGGGGUUCAGACAGAUGGAAGGUUGACUUUGUUAAAGAGCCCUGAAAAUUCAGUUAGGUAUAGUGGCGUUCACCUAUGAUCCUAGCACUUGAGAUGGAGGAGGAGGAAAACCAGGUGUUCAAGGCUAUCCCCAAACAGACAAAUAACAGGAAAAAUGUUUGGCUUGGUUUUGAGGUACUGGAGAUCCAACCCAGGGCUUCAGGCAUGCUCAGCAAGCCCCCAUCACUAAGCUGUAGCCAUGACCUUUUCUUUUUAUCUAAAAUUUUAAUCUGGAAACAAAGUCUGACUGAGUUACUUAGGCUGUCCUUAAACUGUAUAACCAGGACUGGCUUGGACUUUGAUGAUUCCUAUCCCAUCCAGCCUUGUAGUUGGGAUCACAGGCUUGCACCACCAGACUCAGCUAUUCCUUAGCCUGCCUGCCUGCUGUCCGUCCUUCCUUCCUUCCUUCCUUCCUUCCUUCCUUCCUUCCUUCCUUCCUUCCUUCCUUCCGUCCUUCCGUCCUUCCGUCCUUCCUUUUUUUUCUUUCUCUUUCUCUUUUUUUAAAGAUUUGUGUGUCUAUGUGUUGUUAUGUGUAUAUUAGUACAGGUGCUCACAGAGGCAUUGAAUCUCCUGGAGCUGGAAUUAACAUUAGUUGUGAGCCAUCUGAUGUGGGUGUUGAGAACCAAAUUUAAGUCCUCUGGAACCUCUGGAAUAGCAGCAAUGCUCUUAACCACUGAGCCACCUCUCCAGCCCGUUUUUAUUAUUUUUAAUUGUGUGUGUGUGAGAGAGUGUGUGUGUGUGUACCUGCAGAGGCUAGGGGUGUGAGAUCCCCCUGGAUCUGGAGUUACAGGCAGUUGUAAGCUACCUGAUGUGGGUGCCGGGAACUGAGUUCAGGUCCUCUGGAAGAGUAAUAGAUACAUGUUCUUAACACUGACAGCUCCCUCCUGUCCCUCUUUGACAUUUCUUCAUCUCAGGAAUAGUGAUCUGAAGAGUACUGCAGGUCCAAAUACACUUUUAAAAAGCUUCUUCCUUUUUUAUAUUUAAUGGCGUGGUCAUUUGAUAACAGGAAUAUUGUAUUAAUCUUUCCCUUUGUAAAAUCAAAACUACAAGCUACUCUUUGAACUGAGGAGGUGGCUCAGUGGAUUGAAUGCUUGCUAUGUAAACAUGAGGACCAGCAUUUGGAUGCUCAGUGCCAAUGUAAAAAGCCCUCUGUAGCAGCACAUGUCUAUAGCCCCAGAGCUGGGGUGACAACAGGCUGGCCAUCCAGUGUAGUAGAUUUCCGAGUUCCAAUGUCAAUGGGAAAUGGCAUCUCAGUAGACAUACAGGGUUGAUUCUGGACUCCACACGUGUGUAUGUAUGUACCCACAUACUUGCAUGCAUCUACACAUGAGCACAUACACAAGAAGACUACAUUAUCCCUUGGUACAUACUGGCAAAAUAUAUAUUUGUGUUUAAUUUGGUAGUGUAUUAAAGAGUGUGCUUUUAACUGGAACUGGUUAGACAUCUGAACUAUGUAUAUGUAUGCCCUGGCAGGGAGGACAACUUAGCAAUUGUAAAUAUUUUAUUUUUUUAUAGCUAAUAGCGUUUUUGCAUUUUCUUUGUGAAUCUUUUUGAAAGCUUAUUAAGUUCAUGAAUAUAAAAAUAGCCUUUUUCUUUCUUUGAUUCUUUUUUUCUGAACUGGGAAUUGGGCUUACAGCUCUGUGUUUGCCAAACAAGCAUGUUACCACUGAGCAAUACCCCUAGGUGUAAAAUUACUUUUUAAAAUACUAUUCUACGAAAAUAAAGUGCUGUAAACAGUGCUUUAGGUGUCUAUCCUUUUCUUGUGUGUGUGUUGGGGUUUGUUUGUUUGUUUGUUUGUUUGUUUGUUUGAGACAGGGUUUUUCUGUGUAGCCCU